rnacentral:rRNA from 1 species
CACUUUCCACUUUCUUCCUAUUCGCAACGCUCGUCGUGCCACUUUUGGAUUAGCGGUUAGGGGAAGGCAGUAGCGUAGAGCGGGUGAAGGAGGAGGGAAGCGGCGGCGGAGGGGAGGAGCGGAGAAGGGUACGAGAUGUGGUGGUGGUGGUGCGGGGACGAGGAUGUGGCGGAGCGGCGGCCGGCGGAGACGCGGACAAGCAGACGGGGGAGCCUUCCGUGGCUCAACGCCGGUCGGGCACGAGUCGGAGGCGGGUACGCGAGCUCUUCUCCCCUCCCCGUCGGCGUCCCAUCCUCGUCGGUGUUGUCAGCGGUCACGACGGAGUAGAUGGCGUGAAGUGCGGUGGUAGGUAGGUGGGCCACUUGACCUCUCCGUCUACUACUCGCAGCGGAGCAUAGAACCCCGACCUAGGGCUAAGACGGCGAGGUGCCGUACGGCAGGCGGAAAAGGAGGUGGAACACACCGACGAGACCAGCUGGAGAAGGAGUAACAUCCACGAGUUGUCCUCUUCGCGCUCGUCGGCCACGUCGGCUCUCAAGCGGACCAACGUCGAGCUGAAGUCGGUUGUAGUCGGAAACAACGACAAUGACAGGGUAAAACUCUUGGUUUCUUUAUGGCGGAAAGUCGAUCUACACACAAUCCACUUACGACGUCCGGUAAAACAAGUAACCGGGCCGUACUAAACCUAACGUAGUGGAUGUCUCAACAUCCAGACACACUAACUACUCGACCGAAUCCUUCCGUGUCAGCUAAUAAUAACGGAUAAAGAGGUAACUUUCGACGAUGAAGAAAGCAGAAUCUUCCAUGAACACACAUGUUACCUAUGAAAAUAACACUAAAAAGAAGAAACAGUACCUCUCAAACUUUGAUGAUAUGUAUAAUCAGAAAACGCUAAAGUGAAAGGAUUCGAGCUCGGCGUCGCAACCAGGUGCCGCGGCCGUGGUAGCAGUAGGCGUCAUUCUCACACCCGAUGUCUCUGCAGGCCGAGAGCGCGGUGGCAGACAGGUGGGCUCUCAUCCUAUACGUAAACUAGGUCAGGUACAGAACCAGAGAAAAACUUCACACAAAUCGGUACAAGAAGGAUGUACACAAGUUAGGCAGCUAUCGAUCGCUUACAACACGACACUGUUUCCACGUGAGGUCCUUUUUUUAAUAAGACGUUUCUUAGAAAUAGUUGUUUCGCGUAUCCCUUCUAACAGUCACAGUCGCUGGUUAAUAAAACAAGUCGUCCACAAGGGAAGUUUACUCCGAGGUCGUUCCCCUACGAUCGUCUAUAGUUGGCCAACCAACUAACACACGUGUAAGACAUUUCAGUUGAAUUUCGAAGUCGUACACACAAGUAACAGGAGAGGUAAAGUUUGUUUGGUAGUCGACAAAGAAAUUAUAAAAUAAUGAAUUAGUAUGACAUCUUAAACAAAGAGCCACUAGAUUUUGAAUAUCGGUAAUUCCCUUCGGGAACCAAACAUAAUCCAUGAACACGGUAACCCACGUUGAUAUACUUUUUAUCACUCUCUUACGACCAUCUUUAAUCGUCAUUACAUUAAUGUAUCUCUCUUCCAUGAGUGUACAGUGUAGUAUAAAGGGGUACGAGGAGAACUUAACGUUGUUGAUAACUUAAAUCAAAAUCAAGUUCGUAGAAAAAAAUACGACAGUUGUCACACAGUCAACCACGUCCUCCGUAGUGGGAUUCUUUGGCUCUAGGCGAUUAUACAUAAGACAUUGUUGUGAGUUCAGGAACUUUAUUUAUUCUACUCUUAAAUAAAUUUGUACUAUCCUAUAAUGGAUGAAAUUUAAGAGACUAUAUUACCAGUUGUAACUACCGUAUUUGUAAGCGAGUACCUAUCAAAGUUGUCUUAACAAUACUC